rnacentral:tRNA from 1 species
ACAAGGGCUGGGGUGUGGUCCAAAGUGCUUGCCUGGCAUCCAAGAAGCCCUAGGUUCAAUUCCUAGCCUUGUA